UACGUUGACAACGUAACGUAAUCUAAUAAGUAUAUUACCGACAGAUUAGCAUGGCCCCUGCGCAAGGAUGACACGCAAAAUCGUGAAGCGUUCCACAUUUUA